rnacentral:rRNA from 1 species
UACGGAGGGAGCGAGCGUUGUUCGGAAUCACUGGGCGUAAAGCGUACGUAGGCGGUUAUACAAGUCAGAAGUGAAAGCCCAGGGCUUAACCUUGGAAUUGCUUUUGAAACUGUAAAACUAGAGUCCCGGAGAGGUUGGCGGAAUUCCGAGUGUAGAGGUGAAAUUCGCAGAUAUUCGGAGGAACACCAGUGGCGAAAGCGGCCAACUGGACGGGAACUGACGCUGAGGUACGAAAGCGUGGGGAGCAAAC